rnacentral:lncRNA from 1 species
UCCCUAAAUCUCCGUAAUCUAUGAAAUGGGUAUAAUAACGGUGCUCAGCCCAUAAGGCAGCCGUGGGGGUUAAAAGGAAAUGAAACGUGUUUCCCGUUACUGAGCACAGUGGAUGGAACGAUCAGCCAAAGCCAGGCUUCACUGCCGGAAGCAGUGACGUCAUCACCGCACUCCGAAGUAGUGAGUCCUUAAAGGCACACACACACAUACACGUCCAGAGAAGAAAAACCCAAGGUGAGGGGAGUGGCUCUGAUGACAAGACGAAGGCACAAGAACUGGGAAAAGGUGAGUAAAUAAUUCAAGCUUUCAGUAAAAGGAUAAUUGCAAGAAGCUGAUUGGUUCAGUUGUUUUAAAAGAAUCUGAUUGAGCCUUAAAGACAACCAUUAGGACCACAAAGAUGGAGAAGACCCAAACACUGGAAGAAGGAAGCACUUGUGUGGGAUGCGUUGCUGAGGAGAGUCAUUAGCACACCUGCUAAAGGAGUCCCUGUGCUAUCGGAGUGCAGAAUCAUAAUAGUUUAAUACUUGUGAAGACCAUGUUCUUUCAUUUCUUUUGUUCAUUUAACUUGAUCCUGGUACCAGUAACCCAAACCUCGCUUGUGCCCCCAUGACCAGACUUCCAAGUUCUACCCCCUAUUUUAGGAAGAGGCCUCUGGCUCUACAUUUUCUUGUCUAUUGUCUAUUCCUCUGAGCAUUGAGCUUCUCCCUUGGUCCUCCCCUCAGACAGACCCCUGGUCUCAUGUCUGGCUCCUCCCUUGCUUCUGAAUCCCCCCAACUGCCUGCCAGCCUCUUCUGAGGAGAAAUGUGGCAUGCACAGACUUUAGCACUGAAGGUUAAAAAAAAAUAAUCAGGGAGUUCCCGUCAUGGCUCAGUGCUUAACAAAUCCCACUAGGAAUCGUGAGGUUGCAGGUUCGAUCCCUGACCUGGCUCAGUGGGUUAAGGAUCCGG